rnacentral:rRNA from 1 species
CUGGCGGCGUGCUUAACACAUGCAAGUCGAACGAAGCAGCAGUGAAGGAGGCUUCGGCCAAUGGAUCUGCUGACUUAGUGGCGGACGGGUGAGUAACGCGUGAGCAACCUGCCUUUCAGAGGGGGAUAACGUUUGGAAACGAACGCUAAUACCGCAUGACAUAGUAUUAUCGCAUGGUAGUGCUAUCAAAGGAGCAAUCCGCUGAAAGAUGGGCUCGCGUCCGAUUAGAUAGUUGGUGGGGUAACGGCCUACCAAGUCGACGAUCGGUAGCCGGACUGAGAGGUUGAACGGCCACAUUGGGACUGAGACACGGCCCAGACUCCUACGGGAGGCAGCAGUGGGGAAUAUUGCACAAUGGGCGCAAGCCUGAUGCAGCAACGCCGCGUGAGGGAAGACGGUUUUCGGAUUGUAAACCUCUGUCCUUGGUGACGAACAAAUGACGGUAGCCGAGGAGGAAGCCACGGCUAACUACGUGCCAGCCGCCGC